AAGUCGUAACAAGGUUUCCGUAGGUGAACCUGCGGAAGGAUCAUUAUUGAACAAAUCUGAGUGAGAUUGUUGCUGGUCUCUCCCUCACGUGGAGAGACAUGUGCACGUCUCGUUCUAUUUCCAUUCACUUUACACCUCUGUGCACUUUCCAUGAGUUCGGGUUUGAAGUCUGUGAAAAAGACGACAAACCUCCUCAUGUGUUUUCAACAUACCACUUGUCUCUGUUUUACGAACGUUCACUGUCAUGCAUGAAUGCAUACAUAAUACAACUUUCAGCAACGGAUCUCUUGGCUCUC
rnacentral:misc_RNA from 1 species